GUGCAUUGAAUGUCUGGCGAAAAGCGAGUGCAUCUGAUCUCAUUGUACUAGUCAUAGGUGCGUCUAAUCUCAUGGUGUUUUGUGCUACGACAUCUGAAUCGUGGGAGAUUGACCUGCUUGCUGUAGGGACAUCGUCCUCUACAUUUUGCAUGCAGUUUCCAAGGCCCAUGCCAUCCAUGUCUCUCUGUAUAUGUUCUUUCACCUUAUUGUGUGUAGGAGCUGUGAUAGAAGGACUAGGUGAAG
rnacentral:lncRNA from 1 species